AGUGAACGCUGGCGGUAGGCCUAACACAUGCCAGUCGAACGGCAGCACAGUAAGAGCUUGCUCUUACGGGUGGCGAGUGGCGGACGGGUGAGGAAUACAUCGGAAUCUACUUUUUCGUGGGGGAUAACGUAGGGAAACUUACGCUAAUACCGCAUACGACCUACGGGUGAAAGCAGGGGAUCUUCGGACCUUGCGCGAUUGAAUGAGCCGAUGUCGGAUUAGCUAGUUGGCGGGGUAAAGGCCCACCAAGGCGACGAUCCGUAGCUGGUCUGAGAGGAUGAAUCGGCAAAAUGGAAAUUGGGAAAGGGUCAGAACUCUAAGGGAAGGAGGAGUGGGGAAUAUUGGACAAUGGGCGCAAGCCUGAUCCAGCCAUACCGCGUGGGUGAAGAAGGCCUUCGGGUUGUAAAGCCCUUUUGUUGGGAAAGAAAAGCAGCAGGUUAAUACCCCGCUGUUCUGACGGUACCCAAAGAAUAAGCACCGGCUAACUUCGUG
rnacentral:rRNA from 1 species